CUUCGAAAACUCGCCACUUUAUGGAAAUUAACAUUUGCUAUUUUCCAUGCCAAGUAUUAGCCAAGUAAUGCAACCUUUCCUUUGCUAAUCUGAUGAUACAUUUACUGGUUUUCGUUCUGAGAAUCGUCGUGUUGUAACUUGAACGUCUUGAACGUGUCUUGGACGGGUUUUAUUUAUCUGUAAAUCGCAACUGUUAAUUCAAGAGAUACACGGAAGGAAGAUGAGGGUGAAUAAGCUUAUCGGCUGUGAAAAUCUGUAUUGAAUCUUUAGUGCACCCACAUUUAUUAUAAAUAUUUUGUAUGUUUUCUUUCAGUUGUCAACCAGGUUAUGAAUGGCGUAAUAAAGUCUCACAAGGUCUUUGUAAAAUGGACAGAUGCGUAUUUAGUAAAUGAAUAUAAGUUGGCCAACACGAUGAAUGAAGAUUCGUCAACUUCUUCUACCACAAAUAUUAAAUAGUAUCCUUCGACAAAUGUAGAAAAAAUAAAAUACACUUUUGCAUCCUGUAUGCAGGAAGAAAACGUUUCUGACGUCGAUGCAGCAAAGAGAGUAUUUGAAGAGCUUAUAUCCAGCGAUCAAGAUCCAAGAGUAAAUUUAUGAUUAUAUUGACGCUCGGUUCAUCAGGCGUGAAUAUUGCAAAUGAACUUUUUGCAACGAUUGAUAGAAGUCUAAAUUUAAAAUCGUACUGCGCAUGGGGAGGUGAAACUCUUGGUAUGAAAAAUGCUGAUUAUAAUGAAGAGGGUAAAGUUGACUAUCAAAAACCUAUGUUUAUGGGUAUAAGAAUGUUGAAUUCCAGUAUGAAAUCUUGGUCUCUUAUCGUACAUUAUCGCGAGCUCGAAGAAAAACUUGCCGAGUUUAAAAAACGUGUUCAGCUAAAGCGCCGGAGCUUUGGUUUCGUAUGUGGACGUUCGGUUCGUUCCUAGAACCAUUAAAUCAUCGGAAUACAUGGAACUUAUUACAGCUAAUUUUCCUAAUACUGCAUUCUUUGGUGGCUUUAACAAUGGUUUGGAGUUCAUCUGUGGAUUCAAUUCAUUAGGAGGCGAUGAUGGUAUAGCAUGAGAAAAAGUUGCAGUAUCGCUGAUGAGCAUAACGCACGAUUAAAUUGAAUAGCAUGGAAACACAAUGAGAUACAGUUACAGAUUUGUAAUACAUUUUCUCUCAGCAGCUCAAACAGUGUAAUAUCAUAGCGCGCAGGUGUAAAAGCCGCGGACGCAAGCGUGUGCGCGUCGAUUGAAUACGAGCCUCGUUUGUCCUUCAUUGUCGCGACAACAAGUCGCCCUUAGAUACGCAUUCGAUUGCAUGUGGGAGGCUGUCCACGCUUCAGCGGAUUUUCGCUGCUUUGAAAAAUAAAAAGGGCUCUCUCUCUAGAAAAAUCAACGCAAUAAGCAUAACAUACGUCGAUUGCAUUGCUGCGUGAUAUUGUAUUUUCCGCUUUAAUGGAAUAACGAAUUUCCUCUU